rnacentral:rRNA from 1 species
UACGGAGGGUGCAAGCAUUAAUCGGAUUUAUUGGGCGUAAAGGGCGCGUAGGUGGGCGUACAAGUCAGAUGUGAAAUCCCGGGGCUCAACCCCGGAACUGCAUUUGAAACUGUAUGUCUAGAGGGUAGGCGGAGAAAACGGAAUUCCACAAGUAGCGGUGAAAUGCGUAGAUAUGUGGAAGAACACCGGUGGCGAAGGCGGUUUUCUAGCUUAUUCCUGACACUAAAGCGCGAAAGCAAGGGGAUCAAACAGG